rnacentral:tRNA from 1 species
GCCCCCGUAGCUCAACGGAUAGAGCACCAGCCUCCGAAGCUGGUGGUGCGUGUUCAAUUCACGCCGGGGGCA